AUUGAACGCUGGCGGCAUGCCUUACACAUGCAAGUCGAACGGUAACGGGCCUUCGGGUGCCGACGAGUGGCGAACGGGUGAGUAAUGCAUCGGAACGUACCUUUCAGUGGGGGAUAACGUAGCGAAAGUUACGCUAAUACCGCAUAUUCUGUGAGCAGGAAAGCAGGGGAUCGCAAGACCUUGCGCUGAUUGAGCGGCCGAUGUCAGAUUAGCUAGUUGGUGAGGUAAAGGCUCACCAAGGCGACGAUCUGUAGCGGGUCUGAGAGGAUGAUCCGCCACACUGGAACUGAGACACGGUCCAGACUCCUACGGGAGGCAGCGGUGGGGAAUUUUGGACAAUGGGGGCAACCCUGAUCCAGCCAUGCCGCGUGAGUGAAGAAGGCC
rnacentral:rRNA from 1 species